AUUGAACGCUGGCGGCAUGCCUUACACAUGCAAGUCGAACGGCAGCACGGGUGCUUGCACCUGGUGGCGAGUGGCGAACGGGUGAGUAAUAUAUCGGAACGUACCUUAUUGUGGGGGAUAACGCAGCGAAAGCUGUGCUAAUACCGCAUAAUCCCUUAGGGGGAAAGCGGGGGACCGUAAGGCCUCGCGCAAUUAGAGCGGCCGAUACCUGAUUAGCUAGUUGGUGAGGUAAAGGCUCACCAAGGCGACGAUCAGUAGCUGGUCUGAGAGGACGAUCAGCCACACUGGGACUGAGACACGGCCCAGACUCCUACGGGAGGCAGCAGUGGGGAAUUUUGGACAAUGGGGGCAACCCUGAUCCAGCAAUGCCGCGUGAGUGAAGAAGGCCUUCGGGUUGUAAAGCUCUUUUGUCAGGGAAGAAACAGCAGCUCUAACACAGUAUGCGAAUGACGGUACCUGAAGAAUAAGCACCGGCUAACUACGUGCCAGCCGCCGCGGUAA
rnacentral:rRNA from 1 species